rnacentral:rRNA from 1 species
AACGAACGCUGGCGGCAGGCUUAACACAUGCAAGUCGAGCGCCCCGCAAGGGGAGCGGCAGACGGGUGAGUACCGCGUGGGAACGUACCCUUAUCUUCGUGAUAGCUCCGGGAAACUGGAAUUAAUACCGAAUGUGCCCUUUGGGGGAAAGAUUUAUCGGAUAAGGAUCGGCCCGCGUUGGAUUAGCUAGUUGGUGGGGUAAAGGCCUACCAAGGCGACGAUCCAUAGCUGGUCUGAGAGGAUGAUCAGCCACAUUGGGACUGAGACACGGCCCAAACUCCUACGGGAGGGAGCAGUGGGGAAUAUUGGACAAUGGGCGCAAGCCUGAUCCAGCCAUGCCGCGUGAGUGAUGAAGGCCUUAGGGUUGUAAAGCUCUUUCACCGGAGAAGAUAAUGACGGUAUCCGGAGAAGAAGCCCCGGCUAACUUCGUG